UAGACUUUGUUGUCAUGCGCUUCCCUGAUACGUAAGUAAAUGACAAUUAAGAUGGAAGGGAUUGCGAAUGUCGCUUACGUGGCGAUGGGCUUGGAUGGAUGGGCAAGCGGUCAGUCGCUGUUUGUUUAUUACGGGAGGGGAGGAGGGAUGGAGAGUAAACAACGUAGUAUUGUAAUGUUUGUGUGAAGGAAUGGAAGUGUUUGUGUGUGUGUAUUGUGAGUAUAUGGAUAUUGUGAGUAAAUGAAUGUGUUGUAAUAAUAUGAAUGUGCGUGUGUGUGUGUGUGUGUGUGUGUGUGGUCGCAGCGAGUGAAAUACACAAUCAUUAAUGUUGUAUGGUUGCUUUGAUGAUUUGGGCUGCUAUGACGAGAAGCAUUGAUACUACAUGGUUUGCUCAUAUUACAGAGCCAUUGAUUUUAGUGAAUUAUGCAAGGCAUGAACGAAUGUCUUUCCCCUUGUUUUGUGGCACGAAAAGGCAUGAUUGAGGCUGUUGAACGUCGGGCGAAAGUGUUUCCUCAUGCUAUUUUUCCUCUUUCUCCUUUGUCUCUCUACUGUGCUUUACUCUGCCUUGCUUUGCUUUGCCCUGUUCUACCCUCUGAAUUUCGAUGUAAGGCGGUACAGUGUAAUUCGUUGUUUUAAGAAUAGAGUUGGAGAAUUAAUUAUUCGUAUUCCAAAACAAUUACUAAUAACUAAUGAUGUACAAUUUUUACGAUAUGGUUGUUGCGUUUUGACCAGUAGUAGCGCACACAAGGAUCGGCAUGAGGAUCGUCAGCUAAGAAGAUAGUGUGUGUAUUUGUGAGGGAUCGCCAAAAGAUAGCAAAGUGGAUGGUGUUUAAUGAUUUUCGUUAAACUUGGUUAGGGGGUUGUGGAAAGAACGCUAUUCCCUUAUAUGUUUGGUGUUUAGCGAUUUGAGAAUGAAUUUGCAACAAUUUGAUUAGAAAGAGUUUAAUCUUUAUCAUUGUGUUUAUUUAGACAGAAUGGGUUAGAAAUGAAUAGUGGGUUAGGUAUGAAGAAUUGAAUGGUUCGUAGAAAGAAUGCCGCAUAGGUCCAAAACUUGGCAGAUAUUCAAUU